rnacentral:rRNA from 1 species
CGAGAAUAAUUCACAAUGGACGAAAGUCUGAUGGUGCAACGCCGCGUGGAGGAUGAAGGCCCUAGGGUCGUAAACUCCUGUCAUUUGAGAGUAAGACCUGGCGGUUAAUAGCCGACAGGGUUGAUAGUAUCAAAAGAGGAAGGGACGGCUAACUUCGUGCCAGCAGCCGCGGUAAUACGAAGGUCCCGAGCGUUGUUCGGAAUCACUGGGCGUAAAGGGAGCGUAGGCGGUUUGGUAAGUCAGAUGUGAAAUCUUGGGGCUCAACCCUGAAACUGCAUCCGAUACUGCCAAACUUGAGUAAUGGAGGGGUAACUGGAAUUCUCGGUGUAGCAGUGAAAUGCGUGGAUAUCGAGAGGAACACUCGUGGCGAAGGCGAGUUACUGGACAUUUACUGACGCUGAGGCUCGAAGGCCAGGGUAGCGAAAG